UCUGAGAGGAUCCUCAAUGGUGCAUCUGUAGAAGUUGCAGGACAAAGGAAUCACAGCAAGUGCUCCGGGGUCAUCUGAACCUGACAAAACAUCGAAACAGGCAAACACACCGGAUGGUCAGCGGGAAACCUCCUCUUCCCUCAACCAGGGGUCAAAGGAACAGAACGGGAGGGAGACACUUACAGAUGUAUUGGCCAAACUUGGGCUUUGUUGAAAGACAGGGUAAGGUUUGUGUGCAAGCACAGAGUGCUCACUCCAAAGGGAAUGAAUGACCAUUUACAGGAAAUCAAUGACCUUAACAGGAAAGGCUCUGUAAGGGAGAAAACCUUUCACUUUCAUUUUUGAAAACAGACACAAAAGGAGUUUCCCUCAAAACACUUUAAAAAAUAUUAUGGUUAAAGUUUUUUAGCAAGCAGCUAGAGCAAUAUAUAAACUAAAUUUCCUCAGAUUACGUGA